UGGCUACCACUUCUAAGGAAGGCAGCAGGCGCGCAAAUUACCCAAUCCCGACACGGGGAGGUAGUGACAAUAAAUAACAAUACAGGCGCUCGAUAAGAGUCUUGUAAUUGGAAUGAGUACAAUUUAAACCCCUUAACGAGUAACAAUUGGAGGGCAAGUCUGGUGCCAGCAGCCGCGGUAAUUCCAGCUCCAAUAGCGUAUAUUAAAGUUGUUGCAGUUAAAAAGCUCGUAGUUGGAUCUAGGGACGCGCAUUUCAAGCGCCCGUGUCGUCGGGUCAAACCGGCGACUGCGUUGGCGUUGCGGGCUCGGUCCGUCGGUGCCCCACAAAGGGCUACUGGCGUGUCAACCGGCCCGCCCGUCCCCUCCUUCUGGAUUCCCGUUCCUGCUAUUGAGUUAGUGGGGACGUCACAGGGGGCUCAUCGUCGUCGGGUCAAACCGGCGGCGGUGGGUCCCUGGGGCCCAGAUCGUUUACCGUGAAAAAAUUAGAGUGUUCAAAGCAGGCAGAUCCAAUUUUCUGCCACCGAAUACAUUAGCAUGGGAUAAUGGAAUAGGACCCUGUCCUCCUAUUUUCAGUUGGUUUUGGCAGCGCGAGGACUAGGGUAAUGAUUAAUAGGGAUAGUUGGGGGCAUUAAUAUUUAAUUGUCAGAGGUGAAAUUCUUGGAUUUAUGAAAGAUUAACUUCUGCGAAAGCAUCUGCCAAGGAUGUUUUCAUUAAUCAAGAACGAAAGUUAGGGGAUCGAAGACGAUCAGAUACCGUCGUAGUCUUAACCAUAAACGAUGCCGACCAGCGAUUAGGAGACGUUGAAUA
rnacentral:rRNA from 1 species